UACAGAGGUCCCGAGCGUUGUUCGGAUUCACUGGGCGUAAAGGGUGCGUAGGUGGUCGGGUAAGUCGGAUGUGAAAUCUCGGAGCUCAACUCCGAAACGGCAUUGGAAACUACCUGGCUAGAGGUUUGGAGGGGGGACUGGAAUGCUUGGUGUAGCAGUGAAAUGCGUAGAUAUCGGGAGGAACACCUGUGGCGAAGGCGGCCCCCUGGUUGGAUACUGACGCUGAGACGCGAAAGCGUGGGGAGCAAACAGG
rnacentral:rRNA from 1 species